rnacentral:snRNA from 1 species
UCAUGUGAGGGUGAUCUGGCUUCAACAUCUGCCACCCACUGAUCACCAGGGCUGCUUCAGCUGAUGUCUGGCUACACGGGUGUCCCCUUUCUCCACUGUUCCACGUGUAGCCCUCCUCAAGUCGAAAACUUGGUUGAGGAGGAUGACCUUCCCUGAUAGGAAAGGACCAUUCUUUAAUAAAGGUGUGCAAGUAGCUCUGUAAGCUCUCAAGUUAAAGGUGUCUCCUGCACUGCCAGUCUUAUAGUCAAUUACUGCAAAUAGCAAGAAGCCUAAUU